AUCCUCUACCUGUUGAGGGCAAAUGAAGUGAAUAUGCACAUCCAGCCCACCAGCAGUAGCGAUUAGUCCUUCUCCGGCAAUAACUUCUGUGCCUGGGCCUAUAAUGAUAUCCACUCCUGGCUGAGUAUCCGGGUUUCCUGCUUUACCAAUGCCCGCGAUCCGACCGUUUUUAAUGCCUAUGUCUGCUUUUACAAUGCCCCAAUAAUCUAAAAUCAAAGCAUUGGUUAUUACUGUAUCCACGACUUCGUCUGAAGUAUGUUGACUUUGGCCCAUUCCGUCGCGGAU
rnacentral:sRNA from 1 species